rnacentral:rRNA from 1 species
UAGGGAAUCUUCCGCAAUGGACGCAAGUCUGACGGAGCAACGCCGCGUGAGUGAAGAAGGAUUUCGGUUCGUAAAACUCUGUUGUUAGAGAAGAACAGCGCAUAGAGUAACUGUUAUGCGUGUGACGGUAUCUAACCAGAAAGCCACGGCUAACUACGUGCCAGCAGCCGCGGUAAUACGUAGGUGGCAAGCGUUGUCCGGAUUUAUUGGGCGUAAAGCGAGCGCAGGCGGUCAAUUAAGUCUGAUGUGAAAGCCCCCGGCUCAACCGGGGAGGGUCAUUGGAAACUGGUUGACUUGAGUGCAGAAGAGGAGAGGGGAAUUCCAUGUGUAGCGGUGAAAUGCAUAGAUAUAUGGAGGAACACCAGUGGCGAAGGCGACUCUCUGGUCUGUAACUGACGCUGAGGUUCGAAAGCGUGGGUAGCAAACAGG